rnacentral:rRNA from 1 species
AACGAACGCUGGCGGCAUGCCUAACACAUGCAAGUCGAACGAGACCUUCGGGUCUAGUGGCGCACGGGUGCGUAACGCGUGGGAACCUGCCCUUAGGUUCGGAAUAACUCCCCGAAAGGGGUGCUAAUACCGGAUAAUGUCUUCGGACCAAAGAUUUAUCGCCUUUGGAUGGGCCCGCGUUGGAUUAGCUAGUUGGUAGGGUAAAAGCCUACCAAGGCGACGAUCCAUAGCUGGUCUGAGAGGAUGAUCAGCCACACUGGGACUGAGACACGGCCCAGACUCCUACGGGAGGCAGCAGUGGGGAAUAUUGGACAAUGGGGGAAAGCCUGAUCCAGCAAUGCCGCGUGAGUGAUGAAGGCCUUAGGGUUGUAAAGCUCUUUUACCCGGGAUGAUAAUGACAGUACCGGGAGAAUAAGCUCCGGCUAACUCCGU